rnacentral:rRNA from 1 species
UAGCGGCAGACGGGUGAGUAAUACUUGGGCAAUCUGCCCUUGAGUGGGAAACAACCUGACGAAAGUCGGGCUAAUGUCCCAUAAGACCACAGGAUGGCAUCAUCCAGGGGUCAAAGCUCCGCAAGGGGCGCUUGAGGAGGAGCCCGAGUCCUAUCAUGGUAGUUGGUGAGGUAACGGCUCACCAAGCCUUUGACGGGUAGCCGGCCUGAAAGGGUGAUCGGCCACACUGGCACUGAGACACGGGCCAGACUCCUACGGGAGGCAGCAGUGGGGAAUUUUGGACAAUGGGGGCAACCCUGAUCCAGCGACGCCGCGUGAAGGAUGAAGGUCUUCGGAUUGUAAACUUCUUUUGAUGGGGAUGAAUGCCCUGGUGAAUAGCCAGGGGUGACAGUACCCGUUGAAUAAGCCACGGCUAACUACGUGCCAGCAGCCGCGGUAAUACGUAGGUGGCAAGCGAUACUCGGAAUCACUAGGCGUAAAGCGCAGGUAGGCGGUUUGGUAAGUCUCUUGUGAAAGCUCCCGGCUCAACUGGGAGAGGUCAAGGGAAACUACCAAGCUAGAGUGUGGUAGGGGAUACUGGAAUUCCUGGUGUAGCGGUGAAAUGCGUAGAUAUCAGGAGGAAUACCUAUGGCGAAAGCAGGUAUCUGGGCCAUCAC